UCGAAUUUUUCAAUAACGUUACCAGGCCAGCUUCUGUCGUAAGAUUCAAGAGAGAGCUUGCUUGACUGAUUCAAGUCAUGACUUAAGGACUGUAGGCAACAGAAUCUAACAUUAUAGUGCAGAGUUUGUUCGAGUUUGUUGACACGGACAACACACGACAAAUUCUGAACUCUGAACAUUUCUUUGAGGACUUGCUAUCUCCAACCUACAGCUUUGGUAUUAUCCGAUGGAACUACAAGAUCGUACCUGGAAUCCAUUGGCAUCCACAGAGAUAAACAAAGAAGACCGGUUCUGUGAGUUAGGCAUGGGUGGAGGCGGUGUCUUUGUCCUGAGUUUUGUUGGAGAAUCCCAUCACAGGUUCUCUCCAGCAGCAAUAUGUUUGAUCAAUGAGCUCCUUGACUCGGUAUGUCUUCUACUUAAAUAUGUGGUACGAGUCCAUCACAAAAGAAAUAUGAAGUAGAGAUGCGAUAUCAAUCUGUUUCUUUUUCUCCCUUUCUAGCAGCAUCUUUGCCAAAGUAUGCUGAAAGUGACUGCUGAAGUUGUAAUUACACAAUAUGCCCACUCUGAAGUAAUUGCAGAGAUGAACUAGGACUAUCUCAAUUGUCAUGAUAUCUCAGACAGAAUCAUAGUGCAUAUAUUCCAUAAAUUUCUCCCUCACGACCCCCCUCCUCCUGUGUCUAUCAUGGAAUAGUUAUCAGGGUGCAAUAUGCCCGAUCAAACAACUCACCGUAACUCCUGUUUGACUCCAGUCUCAAGGGACGAAAAGGCACGUUUGUUGAUCACUACAAAUCAGGUAAUGCACUCUGGUGCACAUAGCGGUUAUUAGCAUAUAUUCAUGGAAGAUAAUUAUCAGAGAGAACACAAAAGUUACUUGCGUCAUCCUUGAUUUUGUGCGAAUGAAGGGUAAGUUCUUCUCAGAUGGGAUGGAUGUAAACUACUUAGGAUGCACAGACAGAGAAAGGCCCGUUGAGCCUGUUUUUUGAGCAGGAGUAUCUGAUGUCAUUUCAGAAGCUUGUGAGCAAGUUGUUGACAUUCCAUCUUCCAACUAUUGCUGUUAUAAGAGGUCAUGCAGUUGGAGUGGGCUGUAUCUUUGCACUGGCUCAUGAUUACAGGCUUAUGAGCUCUGAUCAUGGUUACGUAUUCAUGAAUGAGGUAAAUCUGGUCCCUGUAGGAGAGUCUUGGAUUUUCAACUGUUAAUGAAGUGCACUGGAGAAGAUCUUCAGAAAUGCCAGUCUUGAACUUUCUACUAGUGAGCUUUCCAUUUUUAGUUUAGUGCAUAGGCUAUUAUGUCGAAUCAAAACUAAAAAAGUUCUGUCACACAACUUAUGUGUUCAAUACUUCAUAACAGAUUAAUUUAGGAAUGUCAUUGACACCCGGAAUUAUGUCCGUUCUUCGCACAAAGUUGCCCAUAUCAACUUUCCAGGAAGUAGUACUUACAGUACCUGUAACUUCCAUUCAUGCUUUAGUGUGAUUCUUUCGACAAAACUCAUGGUGAAGGCCAAUUUGUGGAAGAUGGAUUAAAUGGUAUAGCUACAAAUCCAAUCUUUUCACAGGAAACGCUAUGACGGGAAAGGCGCCGCAGCAGCUGUUAUAGUUCAAGCAACAUGUCCUAGAGGAACAACUCUUUGGCAAGAAGUCAUAAAUAAAGCCUCGGAGUACAGAGCUAGAAGAUGGAACAGAGAGAUCUAUCACGCGCUGAAGAUGGAGAUGUUCAAGAUCACUACGCAACAGCUUGAAAAUGGAGGGAUUGGAUACGCAAAAUGUGAAUCACUCCUCUCUGUCACUUUUUGGGAAAGGGGUGAAAGAAAUCGCGAGGUCUAUUUUGUAUCCAUCAUUGAGUAAUGACUACACCUUUUCAUCUA